rnacentral:rRNA from 1 species
GCGCAAGCGUUAUCCGGAAUUAUUGGGCGUAAAGAGCUCGUAGGCGGUUUGUCGCGUCUGCCGUGAAAGUCCGGGGCUCAACUCCGGAUCUGCGGUGGGUACGGGCAGACUAGAGUGAUGUAGGGGAGACUGGAAUUCCUGGUGUAGCGGUGAAAUGCGCAGAUAUCAGGAGGAACACCGGUGGCGAAGGCGGGUCUCUGGGCCGAUACUGACGCUGAGGAGCGAAAGCGUGGGGAGCGAACAGG